CGGACGGGUGAGUAACGCGUGGAUAACCUGCCGUAUACUGGGGGAUAACACUUAGAAAUAGGUGCUAAUACCGCAUAAGCGCACAGUCUCGCAUGAGACGGUGUGAAAAACUCCGGUGGUAUACGAUGGAUCCGCGUCUGAUUAGCUUGUUGGCGGGGUAACAGCCCACCAAGGCGACGAUCAGUAGCCGGCCUGAGAGGGUGACGGCCACAUUGGGACUGAGACACGGCCCAAACUCCUACGGAAGGCAGCAG
rnacentral:rRNA from 1 species